GGAAAAAGAACUAACAAGGAUUCCCCUAGUAAACUGCGAGUGAAGCGGGAAAAGCUCAAAUUUAAAAUCUGGCGGUCUUUGGCCGUCCGAGUUGUAAUUUAGAGAAGCGUCUUCCGCGCCGGACCGUGCACAAGUCUCCUGGAAUGGAGCGUCAUAGAGGGUGAGAAUCCCGUCUUUGGCACGGAUGCCUGGUGCUUCUGUGAUGCGCUCUCGAAGAGUCGAGUUGUUUGGGAAUGCAGCUCAAAAUGGGUGGUGAACUCCAUCUAAAGCUAAAUAUUGGCGAGAGACCGAUAGCGAACAAGUACCGUGAGGGAAAGAUGAAAAGCACUUUGGAAAGAGAGUGAAACAGUACGUGAAAUUGUUGAAAGGGAAACGCUUGAAGUCAGUCGCGUCGACCGAGACUCAGCCUUGCCUCGGCUUGGUGUACUUCUCGGCCCGACGGGUCAGCGUCAAUUUUGCUCCUCGGAUAAUGGCAAGGGAAAGGUGGCACCUUUAUGGGUGUGUUAUAGUCUCCUGUCGCAUGCGAGGGGUGGGAUUGAGGAACUCAGCGCGCACCUUGGUGUCGGGGCUUCGGCCCACGUCACGCGCUUAGGAUGCUGGCGUAAUGGCUUUAAACGACCCGUCUUGAAACACGGACCAAGGAGUCCAACACGCCCGCGAGUGUUCGGGUGGAAAACCCGUGCGCGUAAUGAAAGUGAAAGUUGGGACCUCUGUCGUGGAGGGCACCGACGCCCGGACCAGACCUUCUGUGACGGAUCUGCGGUAGAGCGUGUGUGUUGGGACCCGAAAGAUGGUGAACUAUGCCUGAAUAGGGUGAAGCCAGAGGAAACUCUGGUGGAGGCUCGUAGCGAUUCUGACGUGCAAAUCGAUCGUCAAAUUUGGGUAUAGGGGCGAAAGACUAAUCGAACC
rnacentral:rRNA from 1 species